rnacentral:rRNA from 1 species
UACGGGGGGGGCAAGCGUUGUUCGGAAUUACUGGGCGUAAAGGGCGCGUAGGCGCCCAAUCAGUCGGGCGUGAAAGCUCUGGGCUUAACCCAGAAAGGUCGUUCGAUACUGUUGGGCUAGAGUGUGGAAGAGGCUACUGGAAUUCCGUGUGUAGCGGUGAAAUGCGUAGAUAUACGGAGGAACACCUGCGGCGAAGGCGGGUAGCUGGGCCGAUACUGACGCUGAGGAGCGAAAGCGUGGGGAGCAAACAGG